GCCUGGGUGGCUCAGUUGGUUGAGCAUCUGACUUCAGCUCAGGCCAUGAUCUCACAGUUUGUGAGUUCGAGCCCCAUGUCGGGCU
rnacentral:tRNA from 1 species